GGGGGCAGCUCCGCCCCUCUCCCGGAUGGCUGUAUUAACGCAGCGCGCAGCGGCUCGGUCUUUCGGUCCCGGCCUUGGUGGCCGAUCCACCCGAGCCGGUCCCCACUGCCCAGCCGUGCUGCUGCCUCGGACACAAGCGCAGGUACGUCCCGGCAUUGAUCGGAGGCAGGCCCUGGCCACGUGGCCGAGAAGACGGAGGUUCCAGGCCUGUCUUUGUUGAGCUGCGCCGGGCCUCCCCAGUCGCCCUUUCCUGUGCCCUUUUAAGGUUGUCGCAGUACUUUAAGAGGCUAACACAGAAGGGUAAAGGAACUCUCCAUAAAACCCAGAGAGGAAAACUACACCUCCUCUUUGGAUCCUGUCUGGAGUCACAAAUGAACCAAAAGCUUCAUUUAAAACUUGAAUGUGCGCAUUUUAGGUUCUGGCGAUUGCUAGGUAGUGAUAUAGGAUUUUAAAGAAAAGAAAACGUAGCCUACCUGGUUUAAUUUGGUUGGAGGAGAAAGUUCAGAAGACAAGAAUACAUUUGCUUUUCUAGAAGUGAGAUUUUAGGUCAGCUGGAAAGGAUAUAGUUGAGUAUGUUCCACUUAUGUGAAACAUUUUUAUUCUUUCAUAGGUUGAAAACUACAAGAAACCCGUGACUGAAUGGCUCCAAGGUGAAGUACUCUUGCAUGUAGUGACCAGGUUUGCCUGUAUUCCACUUUAGGAUUAGUAUCGAAGCUGAAAUAGGUGAAGUGAGGGCCAUGUGAGUUUCCUUGAAUGGCCUUGUAACUGAUUACCCUGAAGGUAGUUUGCUAAAGAUUUUAAUCAAUGUACUAGGAUCCUGCCCCACCCCUUCUUCAUGUCCCACUGCCCUAGAAUCAGAUCUGCAUGGCUAUGACAUGCUCGCCGUUUUAAAGAUGCAAAGAUUUCAUGCUAGAUCAUUAGAAUGUAUCUGGACUUCGUUAGGACAAGUUCUUUGCUAGUAACCAGUCACGUGCUAGCAAUUGAGGUGUGUUAACCUGUAUAUUGUUGCCUAUGAGUAAUUUUCCAUAAUCUUUAAUAAAGGCUUCCUGUGUCAAUUCUA
rnacentral:lncRNA from 1 species